UGCGAACUCCUACGGGAGGCAGCAGUGGGGAAUCUUCCGCAAUGGACGAAAGUCUGACGGAGCAACGCCGCGUGAACGAAGAAGGUCUUCGGAUUGUAAAGUUCUGUGAUUCGGGACGAAAGGGUUUGUGGUGAAUAAUCAUAGACAUUGACGGUACCGAAAAAGCAAGCCACGGCUAACUACGUGCCAGCAGCCGCGGUAAUACGUAGGUGGCAAGCGUUGUCCGGAAUUAUUGGGCGUAAAGCGCGCGCAGGCGGUUUCUUAAGUCCAUCUUAAAAGCGUGGGGCUCAACCCCAUGAGGGGAUGGAAACUGGGAAGCUGGAGUAUCGGAGAGGAAAGUGGAAUUCCUAGUGUAGCGGUGAAAUGCGUAGAGAUUAGGAAGAACACCGGUGGCGAAGGCGACUUUCUAGACGAAAACUGACGCUGAGGCGCGAAAGCGUGGGGAGCAAACAGGAUUAGAUACCCUUGUAGUCCU
rnacentral:rRNA from 1 species